GACGGUGUAACUGUAAUACAAACUAAAACAGCCGUGUUACCUUCGAACCAAAUAAAGAUAUAAGUUUAUGAGAAUAUACGAGUAAUAGCCAAAUGCAGCCCUAUGGGGGGCACAAGUCAGUGCAAACUGUAGGCCGGUCCCAAGCCCGGAUAAAUGCAGAGGGUUGCGUCAGGAAGGGCAUCCGGCUUAAAACCUUGCCAAACAAAUAUGAGCGUUCAUCCAAAGAAUUCCAUACCGGAUCGGUCGUGGCCCGGGUUAACAACGUCCGCCACCGGCGCCGUCAACCUGCAGGGCGCUGUUGGAAAUUCAGCUACUGUGGGUCGAAGUCGAAGUCAAAGAAGAAGAAGAAGAAGAAGAGGUGGAAAGCGGGUUCUUCGGCAGAAAGAGAAGAGGAAAACACAGAGCCUAGAACUGAAUGUGGGGACUUUGAAUGUUGGGACUAUGACAGGAAAAUCUCGGGAGUUGGUUGACAUGAUGAUUAGGAGAAAGGUUGAUAUAUUGUGUGUCCAGGAGACCAGGUGGAAAGGCAGUAAGGCUAGAAGUUUAGGGGCAGGGUUUAAAUUAUUUUACCAUGGUGUAGAUGGGAAGAGAAAUGGAGUCGGGGUUAUUUUAAAAGAAGAGUUGGCUAAGAAUGUCUUGGAGGUGAAAAGAGUAUCAGAUCGAGUGAUGAGGCUGAAAUUUGAAAUUGAGGGUGUUAUGUGUAAUGUGAUUAGUGGCUAUGCCCCACAGGUAGGAUGUGACCUAGAGGUGAAAGAGAAAUUCUGGAAGGAGCUAGAUGAUGUAGUUCUGAGCAUCCCAGACAGAGAGAGAGUCGUAAUUGGUGCAGAUUGUAAUGGACAUGUUGGUGAAGGUAAUAAGGGUGAUGAAGAAGUGAUGGGUAAGUACGGUAUCCAGGAAAGGAACUUGGAGGGACAGAUGGUGGUAGACUUUGCAACAAGAAUGCAAAUGGCUGUAGUGAACACUUUUUUCCAGAAGAGGCACGAACAUAGGGUGACCUACAAGAGCGGAGGUAGAAGCACACAGGUGGAUUACAUCUUGUGCAGACGAUGUAAUCUGAAGGAGGUUACCAACUGUAAGGUAGUGGUAGGGGAGAGUGUGGCUAGACAGCAUAGGAUGGUGGUGUGUAAGAUGACUCUGGUGGUGGGGAGGAAAAUUAGGAAGACAAAGGCAGAGAAGAGAACCAUGUGGUGGAAGCUGAGACAGGACGAGUGUUGUGCAGCUUUUCGGGAAGAGGUGAUACAGGCUCUCGGUGGACGGGAAGAGCUUCCAGAAGACUGGACCACUGCAGCCAAGGUGAUCAGAGAAGCAGGCAGGAGAGUACUUGGUGUAUCUUCUGGCAGGAAAGGAGAGAAGGAGACUUGGUGGUGGAACCUCACAGUACAGGAAAUCAUACAAGGAAAACGGUUAGCUAAGAAGAAGUGGGACACUGAGAGGACCGAGGAGAGGCGAAAGGAAUACAUUGAGAUGCGACACAGGGCAAAGGUAGAGGUGGCAAAGGCCAAACAAGAGGCAUAUGAUGACAUGUAUGGCAGGUUGGACACUAAAGAAGGAGAAAAGGAUCUAUACAGGCUGGCCAGACAGAGGGAUAGAGAUGGGAAGGAUGUGCAGCAGGUUAGGGUGAUUAAGGAUAGAGAUGGAAAUAUGUUGACUGGUGCCAGCAGUGUGCUAGGUAGAUGGAAAGAAUACUUCGAGGAGUUGAUGAAUGAGGAAAAUGAUAGAGAAGGGAGAGUAGAAGAGGCAAGUGUGGUGGACCAGGAAGUGGCAAUGAUUAGUAAGGGGGAAGUUAGAAAGGCAUUAAAGAGAAUGAAAAAUGGAAAGGCAGUUGGUCCUGAUGACAUUCCUGUGGAGGUAUGGAAGCAUCUAGGAGAGGUGGCUGUGGAGUUUUUGACCAGCUUGUUCAAUAGAAUUCUAAAGCGUGAGAAGAUGCCUGAGGGCUGUGGAAACUAUGGAGGAAUAAAGUUGAUGAGCCACACAAUGAAGUUAUGGGAAAGAGUAGUGGAGGCUAAACUCAGGACAGAAGUGAGUAUUUGCGAGCAACAGUAUGGUUUCAUGCCUAGAAAGAGUACCACAGAUGCAUUAUUUGCCUUGAGGAUGUUGAUGGAAAAGUACAGAGAAGGUCAGAAGGAGCUACAUUGUGUCUUUGUAGAUCUAGAGAAAGCCUAUGACAGAGUACCCAGAGAGGAACUGUGGUACUUCAUGCGGAAGUCUGGAGUGGCAGAGAAGUAUGUUAGAAUAAUACAGGAAUAAUAUGUACGAGGGCAGCAGAACAGCGGUGAGGUGUGCUGUCGGUGUGACAGAAGAAUUUAAGGUGGACGUGGGACUGCAUCAGGGAUCAGCCCUGAGCCCCUUCCUUUUUGCAGUGGUGAUGGAUAGGCUGACAGAUGAGGUUAGACUGGAAUCCCCGUGGACCAUGAUGUUUGCAGAUGACAUUGUGAUCUGCAGUGAAAGCAGGGAGCAGCUGGAGGAACAGUUAGAAAGAUGGAGGCAUGCACUGGAAAGAAGAGGAAUGAAGAUUAGCCGAAGUAAAACAGAAUAUAUGUGCAUGAAUGAGAGGGGUGGUGGGGGAAGAAUGAGGCUACAGGGAGAAGAGAUGGCAAGGGUAGAUGACUUUAAAUACUUGGGGUCAACCAUCCAGAGCAAUGGUGAGUGUGGUCAGGAAGUGAAGAAACGGGUCCAAGCAGGUUGGAACGGGUGGAGGAAGGUGUCAGGUGUGUUAUGUGACAGAAGAGUCUCUGCUAGGAUGAAGGGCAAAGUUUAUAAAACAGUGGUGAGGCCAGCCAUGAUGUAUGGAUUAGAGACAGUGGCACUGAAGAGAAAACAGGAAGCAGAGCUGGAGGUGGCGGAAAUGAAGAUGUUGAGGUUCGCUCUCGGAGUGACCAGGUUGGAUAAAAUUAGAAAUGAGCUCAUCAGAGGGACAGCCAAGGUUCGAUGUUUUGGAGACAAAGUUAGAGAGAGCAGACUUCAAUGGUUUGGACACGUCCAGAGGAGAGAGAGUGAGUAUAUUGGUAGAAGGAUGAUGAGGAUGGAGCUGCCAGGCAAGAGAGCUAGAGGAAGACCAAAGAGAAGGUUGAUGGAUGUCGUGAGGGAAGACAUGAUGGCAGUUGGUGUUCGAGAGGAGGAUGCAGGAGAUAGGCUCUCAUGGGAAAGGAUGACGCGCUGUGGCGACCCCUAACGGGACAAGCCGAAAGGAAAAGAAGAAGAAGAAGAUACGAGUAAUAGCCAGAGGAUUGGUUGUACUUAUGGUCCUCCUGGUCCUCAUUCGCUGCUGUUGCUGCUGCUGCUCCUGUGAUAAGAAGCCUAAACGUCAUAAAGUUGGCAUAGAGAACAUGUCUUUGGAACCAUGACAGCUGAACAACAACCUGGA